CUGCAAUACAUGGAACGGCCCUGCACAGUGAAGAACCACCUUUCAUCCCGCAUGACUUGCAAAUCCCCAUUCAACCACGUCAUGGCUCCUGUCCCUCUGGAGGCUGCUCUACCACAGGAAGACAAGCGCUGCUCCUAUCUUCACCGACUUCUCUCCCCAAAGAAACAGACAACCUGGUGGGAAAACAGCAUCACCCCAACUUGGAGCAGCUGGGAGGGACCUGGACCACCAUUCUGCCCCAGGCCCCUCUGCCAUUCUGCAGCCACCCGAGAGGGAGAUCUGACCGCUCCCACACGUACAGUUGCCGACGGUGAGCUCCAGCUCGAAGAGCCAGGAAGUCAAGGAGACCAGACCCUGAGCCCAGCGGCUGCCUGCAAACCUGUGGGCUUCCCCACACCCCAUGAGCACGUUUUGCAGGAUGUGAGAGAAGUGUGCAUCCUGCGAGGAGCUUGAACCCUCACAGGAUUGACUCCUUUGACUGGAAGCCAUGAG
rnacentral:lncRNA from 1 species